UACGUAGGGGGCAAGCGUUGUCCGGAUUUGUUGGGCGGAAAGAGCGUGUAGGCGGCCAGGUAGGUCAGCUGUGAAAACUCGAGGCUCAACCUCGAGACGCCGGUUGAAACCAUCUGGCUAGAGUCCGGAAGAGGAGAGUGGAAUUCCUGGUGUAGCGGUGAAAUGCGCAGAUAUCAGGAAGAACACCCGUGGCUAAGGCGGCUCUCUAGUACGGUACUGACGCUGAGACGCGAAAGCGUGGGGAGCGAACAGG
rnacentral:rRNA from 1 species